ACACAGGUCCUUUUUAGGACCACUGCUCUUCCUAUAAAUUCUUCAGU
rfam:Lepisosteus oculatus linkage group LG16, whole genome shotgun sequence.